rnacentral:rRNA from 1 species
UACGGGGGGAGCAAGCGUUGUUCGGAUUUACUGGGCGUAAAGGGCGCGUAGGCGGUAGCACAAGUCAGUUGUGAAAUCUCCGGGCUUAACUCGGAAAGGUCAACUGAUACUGUGCGGCUAGAGUGCAGAAGGGGCAACUGGAAUUCUUGGUGUAGCGGUGAAAUGCGUAGAUAUCAAGAGGAACACCUGCGGCGAAGGCGGGUUGCUGGGCUGACACUGACGCUGAGGCGCGAAAGCUAGGGGAGCGAACGGG